rnacentral:misc_RNA from 1 species
UGCUUACAAUUGCUAACGUAAGUUUUAUACUAUGAGCUUUUUUCCCUGAAAAGUUAAAAGAUCUCCCUUUCUAUGUAACGGCAUAGAUAAUAAUAAUUGUGUCUUCCACGUAUUAGGAUUGUGCUGGUCUUAUAUCUUGUGCAUGUUUCCUCAUCUUUAUUUGUUGGAUUGCUGAAUAUUCCAGUUUCUUUUCUUAUAGGCCAUGAAUGAAAUUUCAAGGUAUUUGUUUUGAAAGUGGAAGUGUUAGGUGUUACUUUUACAUCUGAAUGUUGCUUGAUAAUUUGAGAUAAAUGGUUUAGUGGCAGAGCAUCAUGGACCAAAGAUUCAACUCGGGUCAAACUAUAAUUGAAUGAAAUUAAUAUUAAAUGUCAUAUAAAAUUAGUGUUGUUUUAUUAAAAGUCUCAAAUAAAUUAAAUUAUAUUAAAAUUAAUCCAUUUGAAGUUUCAAUGUAAUAAUUUUUCUUCCAACAAGUUUCUAUCAUAGUUUGAAAAUUUAGGAUAGAUAUGUUGCACAAUAGAAGAAAUAAAUAGAAUAAAAAUUUGAAGUAUGGUUGAUUUACUUGUCAUUGAAAAUAGGAGUUAGGACGACACUGAUAUACCUUUUUCAUGUGAUAAACUUUAAUUUUUUUUUUUGCAAAGUAAUUAAGAUAAGAGAAUAAUUAAAGUAUUUUUAUAAAACUGUAUAUAAAUAAAUUUUGUGAAAUUAAGUAGCACCAAUUCCCUAUCUUUGGCUUAGAGUCAGAUUGUGCAAGCUAGAGGCUAGAGGCCAUGUGAUCAAAUUUGAGUGACUAGUUGUUUUGCUUUUUUACAAUGAGGAUGAUGUGGCAGCAUUCAAGCUGCCAUGUUGCCCUCUUAUAAACUGGCCUACCUUCUUGAACCAGGCUGGGUUGACCAGUUCACAAGGGUCAUGGCUAUUGUGAUGGUUAAACGAGUUUCAUGACCUGACCAGACUGACCAUUGGUUCAGUUCCCAGUUAAUUAGGUCCAACCAGCUGGUCCAGUCCAGUCCGGUUCUAGAAACCUUUGUUAUUUGGUUAGUCUUUGACUUUACUAAAGGUAUCUUUAUAAAAAACUGCCUUGAAAUGAAGAACUGCUUUAUGUGAAAAACCAAACCUUUUCUGCUUCCACUUUAAUGAAUGUUUAAAUUUAAUUUUAUUUUAUUUGGGAACAUCGUUGCUAUUAUUUGCAUUUGUGUAGUAUCAUGAAGAUGAUUUACUGCUUUGGAAAAAGUGAAGCAAUAAAACAAAUAUAACUGAGAAAGAAAGACUUUUACUUUCGGUGAUACAUUGAGCGCUCAUUUGUAGUGACUUGAAGACAUUGCUGUUUAACCAAGCAAAGGGUUUUUUUCCUUCUUCUAUCACCAUUCAAGGCUCCUAACCAGAAGCUAUGAUAAUCCUAUUAGAUAUCAUCAUCUCCAUGUUUAGUUCUGGUGGUGGCUUGAUUCUUCUGUUUAUUUAUUUUGUCAAUAUCACUACCAUAACUCUUGAUGCUUCGCCUUUCCACAAUUUUUGCCAUCAGAGAUGUGAUCAAUUAAUUUAUUAUCAUAUCUCUGUCCUAUCUACCAUUCUCAGUGUCACUACCACAUUUACAGGUUACCUUUGAACUCUUAAGCUUACAUUCUCGUUCCUUGACCAGUUGAUCCUUUAUUACAUUCCAACAGUUGAUUUAUUGUAAUCAAGACCAGCUUCAAGCCUUCAAGGCUACCAUUAAUGCAUCACGAAUCAACUUUUCCACUUGCUUAUGUUAACCUCAAUCAAAUUUGAUAUUGGCAGAAGUACCCGUUAUUGCUACCUUACCACCUCAACUUUCAAGGUUAAUACAACCAUCAUCAUGUGUAGUAUGUUCUAGUCUACCUCACAUCCAUCUUUUUUAUUGUGACAAUUCAAUAUAUGUACUUCUCAGUUUUGCUCUUUAGGAAAAGCUACAUGUUAAAAACAAAUUGAUUUUCUUGCUUCUAAGAGAUGUAUUACUUUUGCUGAACUAAUUAGAUUAUGAGAAAGUAAGUUAUAUGUGAAUUAUUUGGUUGUCAUAUUGUAACUUUGCCUAUUACAUUGCAGAAUUCAAUCCUGAAACUCUAGUUUUAAAUGCUGAUCUUUUUUCCUCUUUAUUAUUUGGGGAACAAAUAGAGAAAUACUAGGAUGAGUACUUCAUUUAUUUGUGAAUAAGGACCUUCAGAGUUGGAUAUCUAGAAAGGUGAAGAUGAUUUUUCAAAAUUGCAUCAUCCAUGGUAAUUUUCAUGAGAUUUGGAACAAAUUUAUUUUAGUUUUUCCUUUGCAUUUAAAGGGGCUGCAUUCUUCCUUGUUAAGGUCUCAUCAAAAUUUCAAUGAUAAAAAAUACAUUAGUUUGGUCAUGUGGUGAGGCACAACAUCUUAGUGUUCAUAGAUCUUUUCCUUUUUUUUUUUAAACUGAUCUUAGCGUGUAGAUCAGAGAGAAGCCAUUGUAAUUUUUGUGGAAUUCUCAAGCUUUCUCUCAGGGUCAGCAAAAUAAAUUUUUUUAACGACUAGAAUGAUUUAUGCCCUCAUGGUUCUGUGAAAAUCUGUGUUUAGGAAAGCCACCCUGUGGUCUCAUAACUUUAGAUUUCUAUUUUGUUCGUCUUUGUCAAAGUGAUCAUUUUAUUGGUGCACUCUAGCUUUCCUUUAUCCACCUUUUUAAUUUAUUCUCAUUAGCCAUUUCUGGUAGCUAAUCUGUUGACAGCAUCCUUGCAGAACUUAAUUAUGCCCGUCUGUGAU